UUGGGACACAAAUAUUAAAAAACUUGUUUUUUAUCUAAAAAGUAUCACUAAAAUAUAAAUUAAAAAUUAUUCAACCAAUCACAAAACAUACUACAAAAUAUAAUUGGUUACACAGUUUUUGAUAAAGUUAAAAGAUACCUUGAAAUAUGAAAACAUCAUCUAUUUUGAAACAUCAAAAACUCUCUAAAACAUCAUCUAUUUUGAAACGGAGGGAGUACAUUUUAAUUUUUGUUUUGUUUAAUGUGGUAUUUUCAUUUUUAUAUAAUUUACUACCAUUUUAAGAUAUAUGUACAUUUAAGAUAGAUGUUUAAAUCUUAAUGUAUUUUUUCUAUUUUUUUUAAAUGUUUAUUUCCAUUUCUUAUAUUUUUUAUUUACGUAAUAUCUAUAUUUUAUAUUUUAAAAUAGAUAUUUAAAUCUUAAUGUACUUUUUCAUUUUUUUGUAAAUUGUGUAUUUACUUAUAUUAUAUAUUUUACAUUUUAAGAUAGAUGUUUAAUGCUUAAUAAACUUUUUCCAUUUUUUUAAAAAAAAUUGUGUAUUUACUUAUUAUUAUAUAUAUAAUUCAUAUAUUAUAGAUUUAAAUAUUUACUUAUUAUUUAUUUUCCUGUAUAUGUAUUUCCAUUUCUUGUACUUUUUAUUUACUUAAUAUCUUUAUUUUACUUUUAAAGAUAGAUGUUAAAAUCUUAAUGUACGUUUUCCAUUUUUAAAAAAAAGUAUAUUUC
rnacentral:lncRNA from 1 species